GUGGCGGACGGGUGGAGUAACGCGUGGGUAACCUGCCUUGUACUGGGGGACGAACAGUUGGAAACGACUGCUAAUACCGCAUAAGCGCACAGCUUCGCAUGAAGCAGUGUGAAAAACUCCGGCGGUACAAGAUGGACCCGCGUCUGAUUAGCUGGUUGGUGAGGUAACGGCCCACCAAGGCAACGAUCAGUAGCCGGCCUGAGAGGGUGAACGGCCACAUUGGGACUGAGACACGGCCCAAACUCCUACGGGAGGCAGCAUG
rnacentral:rRNA from 1 species